rnacentral:rRNA from 1 species
UACGUAGGGGGCGAGCGUUGUCCGGAAUCAUUGGGCGUAAAGAGCUCGUAGGCGGCUCAGUAAGUCGGGUGUGAAACCCCCAGGCUCAACCGUGGGGACGCCACCCGAUACUGCUGUGGCUAGAGUCCAGUAGGGGAGUGUGGAAUUCCGGUGUAGCGGUGAAAUGCGCAGAUAUCGGGAGGAACACCAGCGGCGAAGGCGGCACUCUGGGCUGGAACUGACGCUGAGGAGCGAAAGCGUGGGGAGCAAACAGG